rnacentral:rRNA from 1 species
GGAUGAACGCUGGCGGUCUGCUUAACACAUGCAAGUCGAACGCAACCUUCGGGUUGAGUGGCGGACGGGUGAGUAACGCGUGAGAAUCUGCCUUGGGGUCGGGGACAACCACUGGAAACGGUGGCUAAUACCGGAUAAGCCUUUGGGUAAACAGAUUUAUUGCCCCAAGAGGAGCUCGCGUCUGAUUAGCUAGUUGGUGAGGUAAAAGCUCACCAAGGCAGCGAUCAGUAGCUGGUCUGAGAGGACGAUCAGCCACACUGGGACUGAGACACGGCCCAGACUCCUACGGGAGGCAGCAGUGGGGAAUUUUCCGCAAUGGGCGAAAGCCUGACGGAGCAAGACCGCGUGAGGGAGGAAGGCUCUUGGGUUGUAAACCUCUUUUCUCAGGGAAGAAGCUCUGACGGUACCUGAGGAAUCAGCCUCGGCUAACUCCGUGCCAGCAGCCGCGGUAAUACGGAGGAGGCAAGCGUUAUCCGGAAUUAUUGGGCGUAAAGCGUCCGCAGGUGGCGAUUCAAGUCUGCUGUCAAAGCACGGGGCUUAACUCCGUUACGGCAGUGGAAACUGAAUAGCUAGAGUGCCGUAGGGGUAGAGGGAAUUCCCGGUGUAGCGGUGAAAUGCGUAGAGAUCGGGAAGAACCAUCGGUGGCGAAAGCCGCUCUACUGGACGGCAACUGACACUCAGGGACGAAAGCUAAGGGGAGCGAAUGGGAUUAGAUACCCCAGUAGUCCUAGCUGUAAACGAUGGAUACUAGGUGUAGCUUGUAUCGACCCGAAGCUGUGCCGAAGCUAAACGCCGUUAAGUAUCCCGGCCUGGGAAUACGCACGCAAGUGUGA